UACGUAGGGUGCAAGCGUUAAUCGGAAUUACUGGGCGUAAAGCGUGCGCAGGCGGUCCGUUAAGACAGAUGUGAAAUCCCCGGGCUCAACCUGGGAACUGCAUUUGUGACUGUAGAGCUGGAGUGCGGCAGAGGGGGAUGGAAUUCCGCGUGUAGCAGUGAAAUGCGUAGAUAUGCGGAGGAACACCGAUGGCGAAGGCAAUCCCCUGGGCCUGCACUGACGCUCAUGCACGAAAGCGUGGGGAGCAAACAGG
rnacentral:rRNA from 1 species